rnacentral:rRNA from 1 species
UACAGAGGGGGCAAGCGUUGUUCGGAAUUACUGGGCGUAAAGGGCGCGUAGGCGGCCUGCUAAGUCGAACGUGAAAUCCCUGGGCUCAACCCAGGAACUGCGUCCGAUACUGGUUGGCUUGAAUCCGGGAGAGGGACGUGGAAUUCCAGGUGUAGCGGUGAAAUGCGUAGAUAUCUGGAGGAACACCGGUGGCGAAGGCGACGUCCUGGACCGGUAUUGACGCUGAGGCGCGAAAGCCAGGGGAGCGAACAGG